rnacentral:rRNA from 1 species
UUUUAAAUGGCCGCAGUAUUUUGACUGUGCAAAGGUAGCAUAAUCAUUAGUUUUUUAAUUAAAAGCUUGUAUGAAAGGCUGGACGAGGUAAAAUCUGUCUCUAUUUAAAUUAUUGUAGAAUUUAACUUUUAAGUUAAAAGGCUUAAAUAUUAUUAAAAGACGAGAAGACCCUAUAGAUCUUUAUAGUUUAUUAAAUUAAAUUAAUUUAGAAAUAUUAAUAUUUUAUUUAAUUAAGUUAUUUUAUUGGGGUAAUAAAAAGAUUGAAUUAAUUCUUUUUUAUAAUAAACAUUAAUUUAUGAAUAUUAAUGAUCCAGUUUUACUGAUUAUAAGAUUAAGUUACCUUAGGGAUAACAGCGUAAUUUUUUUAGAGAGUUCAUAUCGAUAAAAAAGUUUGCGACCUCGAUGUUGGAUUAAAGAUUAUUUUAGGUGUAGAAGCUUAAUAAUUAUGGUCUGUUCGACCAUUAAAUCUUUACAUGAUCUGAGUUCAGACCGGCGUAAGCCAGGUCGGUUUCUAUCUUUAAUAAAAUAAAAUAUUUUAGUACGAAAGGACCAAAUAUUUGAUAUAUUUAUAUUUAAUUUAUUGAAUAUUA